rnacentral:rRNA from 1 species
UACGUAGGGGGCGAGCGUUAUCCGGAUUCACUGGGCGUAAAGGGAGCGCAGGCGGCACGGCAAGUCCGGUGUGAAAGCCCGGGGCCCAACCCCGGGACUGCACUGGAAACUGCCGGGCUGGAGUGUCGGAGGGGCAGGCGGAAUUCCUAGUGUAGCGGUAAAAUGCGUAGAUAUUAGGAGGAACACCGGUGGCGAAGGCGGCCUGCUGGACGACGACUGACGCUGAGGCUCGAAAGCGUGGGGAGCAAACAGG